AACAACUCACCUGCCGAAGCAACCAGCCCUGAAAAUGGAUGGCGCUCUAGCGUCGUGCCUAUACCGGGCCGUCAACGGUACAGUGGGUCCCCGGCAUCUGUCGGAGUCCGUUAUGCCUUGACGAGUAGGAGGGUCGCGGCGGUGUGCGCAGAAGGGUCUGGGCGUGAGCCUGCCUGGAGCCGCCGUCGGCGCAGAUCUUGGUGGUAGUAGCAAAUACUCUAGCGAGGGCCUGGAGGGCUGACGUGGAGAAGGGUUUCUUGUGAACAGCCGUUGCACAAGAGUCAGUCGACCCUAAGCUCUAGGAGAAAUCCGAUGUUGAUGGGUAGCUAAACAGAACGCAACGUCUGUGUGCUCGGCAAGCGGAGUGAGCUGUGUGCUCGCCGCUUCUGUAGCAACGGCUCCUGUCGAGCUAAAGGGAAUCCGGUUCAUAUUCCGGAACCUGGCAGCGUAACCGCCACACAGCGGGCACUCGCCCGCGAGCGCUCGUCGGGGUAACCCAAACUGACCCGGAGACGCCGGCGGGGGAUCCGGAAAGAGUUGUCUUUUCUUUUUAAGCGUUCGAGUACCCUGGAAUCCUAUAGCAGGGAGAUAGGGUUUGGAACGCGAAGAGCACCGCAGUUGCGGCGGUGUCCGGAUCUUCCCCCCGGACCUUGAAAAUCCGGGUGAGGGCUACGUGGAAGUCGCGCCUGGUCGUACCCAUAUCCGCAGCUGGUCUCCAAGGUUAAGAGCCUCUAGUCGAUAGAAUAAUGUAGGUAAGGGAAGUCGGCAAA
rnacentral:rRNA from 1 species